AAUAAACAAAAUGUUGAGCAUAAUUGAAAUGAUGAAAUUAACAAGAGAAAGAAAGAAGGGUCAGCCGCGGGGGUUUAUAGAGGGUUUAGAGGAACCCGCGAAAUGUCCUUCCUGCCACCUCCCCAUCAAUCAACCGACUACGCAAACACAAUGCUUCGUAACAAGAUUGCUCAUACUUUACUCCGUCGAUCUCCAAUCGCCGCCGUUUCCUCUCCACUCUCCUCCCUCGGAGCACCCUCGUCCACAGUCUUUGCCUCUGAACCAACGCCUUCUCAAACUACUUGCUCCUCUUUCUCCUGUCGCCACCACGCGUUCCCCUUUUCCCUGCGGUUGUUCAAUACCAAUUCCUCUAAACACUUUCGAGAUGAAGUCAAAGAACAAAAUCCUCCUCAGUAUGGGAGGGAAGAUGAGGGAGAAACCACGGAUGGAUGGGAAGAAGACGAUGAUGAUCUGGAGCCUGAGCUUGGUGAUGGAGGGGAUGGUGGUGGUGUCGUUUUACAAGGCGUGCCAUGGGGUGAGCAUGUUCUUCUUCUUGCUCAAGAGGUCCUGCUGCAAUUUGGCGAUGACAUAAAACUGUAUUCUUUCAAGGUCACUCCACGUGGGUACAUUUAUGUCAGAUUAGAUAAACUCUCACACGAAUUUGGUUGUCCCAACCUGGAGGAGCUUGAUAGUUAUAGCAAAGAGUACAAAAAGAGAUUAGAUGAAACUGGAGCACUUGGAAAUAUUCCCGAUGAUUUAGCCCUGGAGGUAUCGUCUCCAGGUGCAGAGAGAUUACUGAAGAUUCCAGAUGAUCUGCUUAGAUUUAAAGCCACACCAAUGCGAGUUUCUUACAUUGAAGAUGUAGACUCGAGAGGCUCUGAAAAUGAUGGAGUUUUUAUGUUGGAUCAUUUAGAAUUGGAAUCUGAAAGUUGUAUCUGGAAAUUGGCAAAUGUGAGGGAAAACCGAGAUCCUUUAAGUAAGGGCAGGCCUUUGACUCGUAAGCAGAAAGAAUGGAGGUUAAAGUUACCCUAUGCAAAUCAUAAGAAGGUAUUCCUUUACCUUAAAUGCUGAGAGUCAGCUCCUCAAGGUUCAAAAGAAAGGAGGGGUCGUGUACUUAAUUCAUGAGGCUUUUAGCUCUUCAACGAAAAUAAAGUGCAGAUAUGUGGCUGUGUAUUACAUGGUGAUUGAGUAAAAUUCCUGAUGUUGGUUUGGUUUGCUGUUCAUUUGGUUUGCUGACGUUAAAACCUUCAAAAGAGUCAGACAUUACCCUUCAUGGACCAAGGAAAGCAAUUGCGCUCUCUCUCUCUCUCUCUCUAUGCGUGUGUAUGUGUUUUAGGGAUCUUGUUAUUGAUUUAAUCCUUUUUGUAAUAAGAUUUAAGGGAAACUAUUUUAACAAUAGUCACGAGAAUGAUAUUGUUUAUUUCAGAGUAACACUUAAGAGUGAUGCCAUUUUGAAAUCUAGAACAACAAAAAAGUAUAAUCAUGAGAACACUACUAUUCUUAGAAGAAUAAUACUUCUUGUCAGAUACUAGAGAGCUUGCACUUAUUUUCUCGGACGACUUAUUUCUAUUGGUUCUGUUAAAUAUAUAGCUUUUUCCUUCUAUCCUUGACCCAAUAGAGAUAAACAUCUUAUUAACUUAUGUGUAACCAAAAUUUUCUUCUCCUCUACUAGAAUUACGUUCAUCUAUGCAUGUUACACAGUAGAACCAGAGAGCUGACGUUCUUUUGGAGGAAAUCCAACUGAGCCACAGUAAUCUUAUCAUCCAUCACGACCAGAGGGCCAGCUAACAAAUUUCAAACUUGGCACAUAUUGCUUGUCACACUCGUAGAAUGAGCCAACAAGGAGUGUGUCUGUACGCUAAAGAGGGACAGGACACAUUCAACAAAGGUAGAGCCAAGAUACAUAUUAUCAAUCAAAAGGAAGUGUCCACAUUGCCAUGUUGGGCAGGCCUCUCGGCUGUAGAGAUAGAUAGCUCAUUAUGGAUAAGUGGACCACUGAUUGGUUUUUAAUCAUUUCUAAGAAAGAAAAUUCAUGUUGCAUCAUGUGCUUUGGACAUAUCUUUUUUCACUAAUUGACACAAACAAAUUUAGGUCAUUCAAUUCCAACCCCAUUCAGCUUGGGUAUUGUAGUUAUUCUGGUUUUUGCAUGAGCAAGUCUCUUUCAUGAGUACCUACUUCUUAUGUACACUUUGCACCUCUCCUCAAUAAAAAAGUUACCUGACAUCAGAAGAAAACAACUUGGGGGAAAUUUUAGAGGUAUUAAAUAAUUUCCUUUCUGGCUUAUUCUUGGCAUGUUUUGUUGUGGUUGCAGGGCCUAGUUUUUGAUGAGGAUCUAGCCAAACGUGGAUGCUUUUUUCAGUGGGAUUCUUUCUUUUGUCUGACAGCUUCUUCAUCUUUAUCCACUCAAUGCCACCAAAUGACUUUCCUCUUCUGCCAUUUUCCUCCCAUGGAACUCAUGGAGGUUGUUAUAGGAAACUUUGCCUCAUCAGCAGCUAUCUCAUAAAUGAGUAAAUCGUUUUGGGAUUGAAGUUUCAAGUUCAAGUUGUGAGACUUCUACUCUACAACUCCUUCGACAGUCGACAUUACCAAUUGGAAUUAUAAAUCUUUAGGCACAUUAUGAUUAGGCAACAUUAAGAUUAGUAUGAAAGUUUAAAUGUUAUUACCUUUUGGUUUUGGUUCAUUCUUUAUAACUAUCUUGAUUCGUUUUGUGCAUAUAGCAAUUAGGAUAAACCAAAGUUGGGAAGAUUGAAUCUAAAAUUUAAAGCCGAAAUUAGUAAAAUAUUCUGUAAUGUAGUAGAACUCAAUUUGAAGAAGCAAAGAUGGAAAUUUUGUGGAUUUCUUUAA